GACGAACGCUGGCGGCGUGCCUAAUACAUGCAAGUCGAACGCUAAAGGGAGGAGCUUGCUCUUUUUGCAUGAGUUGCGCACGGGUGAGUAACGUGUAUGUAACCUGCCUUGUAGCGGGGGAUAACUAUUGGAAACGGGAGCUUAUACCGCAUAAACAUCGCUGGCACAUGUCAGUUAUUUGAAAGGCGCAAUUGCUCCACUACAAGAUGGACCUGCGUUGUAUUAGGGAGUAGGUGAGGUAAUGGCUCACCUAGGCGACGAUACAUAGCCGACCUGGGAGGGUGAUCGGCCAACAUGGGACUGAGACACGGCCCAGACUCCUACGGGGGGGAGCAGGAGGGGAACUUCGGCAAUGGGGGGAAAACUGGCCGAGCAACGCCGCGGGAGUGGAGAAGGUCUUCGGAUCGUGAAGGUCUGUUGUAAGUCGAGAAAGGGUGUGAGAGUGGAAAGUUCACACUGUGACGGUAGCUGACCAGAAAGGGACGGCUAACUACGUG
rnacentral:rRNA from 1 species